CUCCCACACACCCCGUUUUCUAAAUUAGCCCCAUCCCCACCUACUCCUCUUUCCCUUUUCUUGCUUCCAGCCGCUCGUAGCUGGCGGGUGUCGCGCGGUCCGGAGCGGCUCGGCGCCGGCCACGGACACCUUCUCCCGGGCUGCGCCUGGUUAGCUAGCCUCGGACCGACCCGGGCACGGGAAGGGGCCACGACUCCGGGCCAGCCCCUCCCGCAGCCAGCCGCCCGUUUGAAGUCGCGAGCCCGGCAGGAAUGCAGCCGGGUUAUCAAUCACCCAGCUGGAUCCCGAAGGUCUCAGCCUAAUCACAUUUAAUUGCUCGUGGAGGCCCAUUCUCGCCCCCGGCUCGCCGCCGCGCUCAAUUACUCCCCAAAUACCUGCCAUCAAUAAACGUGCACUGACACCGGGCCCGGCCCGCUCCGCUAACCCAAGAGAUUCCAGCCGACCAGGCUUACGUCGGGCGUUAUGUGAUCUAGACAACCCAGGGGUGAAGCCCUGCCACCCCGCCACGCCACGGCGGCUGGAGGAACGCACGAAACAACAGCGCCUCCCAGAGGCGGGCGCCUCGCCUCCGCCUACCCCGCAGCGGUGCGCUGGCCAGGGAGCAUCGCCAGCGUUCAGGUGCACGCCCGCAGUCUUUUUUAAGACCAAGAUCCACUAUCGGAAGAAGAAGCAGCUUUUGAGGCUGUGGAAACAAGCAGAGAAGAAUGUGGAGAAGAAAAUCAGCAAGUUCACGAGGUCCUCAAGACUGUUGUGUGCUGUGCCCACACAACAAGCACUUGGCUUUUGUGGCUUCAGGAGACAACAGUAAGGCAGGGAACAGCAGGUGCUUCGUGAUGCUUGGCUUGGAGAGAAGGCCCUGACUGCUUGGUGAGUUUUAUGCCUGUUGGGACUCAUCUUUGGAACAGAUGUACAAAGCUCUCAAGUGGGUAGCUUUGGGGCCUGGUGGAACAUGACUGCAGGACAGGAUGACGCCGAAGACCAAGAACUGACCUUGUUUUCCCUGGUGCCUGGAAUGGGAGGCAGACUGAGAAACGUUAGGGCACUGGAGCAUGGCCAGGCACUGCCUCCAGCCACCUUGCUUUGUCAAGACCAGCUGAGAUAGGUGGUAGUUCUAGUAAUUUGUACAGUACAGGUUAGUGUCUCUGGUUGUUGACCCUUCUUCAGUCUACCAUAGAACCAGACAUAUGCUGCAUGGGUAGAAGGAAAUAUAAUGAUAUGUUUUUAAAAUAGAAAUUUAUUUCUCACAUUUCUGAAGGUGUACAAAUGCGUCACUGGCUUGUUUCGGGAGAGAGGCUGCCCUCUGCUUCCAAGAGACCCCUUGUUGCUACGUCCAUUGUGGGGAGUGUGUGUCCUCAAAUGGCAGGAGGGAGGGGAGGGCAAAGGGGCUGAACUCCAUCUCUCAAGACCCUUUAUUAAGGUGCUAAUCCCAUCCAUGAGGGAGAAGGUGCUAAUCUCAUCCAUGACCGUAGAGCCCUGAGGCCUAAUCGCUGUCAAAAGGCUCCACCUUCUAAUCCUGUUGUAAUGGGGAUUAAGUUUCAACACGAAUCUUGGAGAAGACACAGACAUUCAAACCAUAGCCAGCCCCAAAUAAACAUGGCAUGAGUUAAGAUUCUAUGUCUCUCCCCUCAGUGCUGGUCUUAAAUCCCUUCUUUUGGCCUAUGACAUGGUGUCUGAUGGCAAUCUGAACGGAUGGAAAUGAGGGAGCGUGUGCCAGCGGGGAUCAUAGAAACAGAAAUGCCUGCAUCAGGAAUCCCAGAGCCCAAAGCCCUUUACAACCUCUGAAAGACAGAGUGCUCCCAUCCUGGAGACUUCCACCCCGGGUCGUGGCUUGAAGAAUCUGUCUCAUGAAAGCUGCUUCCAACAAGCAUUUAAAAUCAUCCAUCCAAAAAGAUAACUAAAUCGUGGCCAUUCAUUGCUCUGAAGCCAUCACACUGCAAUGAAAACAUGUAUUUAACUGGGGAAACACUGGAGGCUCACUCUCCCUGGCCUCGGCUCCUUUUCUUCUCUCUUCCAUUGAGGGCUCAAAAUGUUAUGAUUCAUUUCAGCCCUGCCCAGCACAGCGGUGAGUUACAGACCCCAGCGUUCUGAGCCUAAGGGGUCCCGGGUGAGAUCAGCCCCCCAGCCCAUCCCAGCAUUCUCUCUGCAGCCAGCUCUGUUUGUUCUUUGACUCUUUUGAUCAUUGCUAUAACAGUAGCCAAGCAGAGGAAAUUAAGCUUUUGUAUUUUCGGCUAAUCCAUGACCCUGGAUAAUUUGUAAGAGACAUCU